UACGUAGGGUCCGAGCGUUGUCCGGAGUUACUGGGCGUAAAGCGCGCGCAGGCGGCCCGCGAGGUGUCACGUGAAAGCCCCGGGCUCAACUCGGGAGGUCGUGGCAAACCGGCGGGCUUGAGGCCGGUAGAGGUGGGUGGAACUCCUGGUGGAGUGGUGAAAUGCGUAGAGAUCAGGAAGAACACCCGUGGCGAAGGCGGCCCACUGGGCCGGUACUGACGCUGAGGCGCGAAGGCGUGGGGAGCGAACGGG
rnacentral:rRNA from 1 species